GACGAACGCUGGCGGCGUGCUUAACACAUGCAAGUCGUACGAUGACCCGGCUCUUCGGCGCUGGUGAUUAGUGGCGAACGGGUGAGUAACACGUGGGUGACCUGCCCUGCACUCUGGGAUAAGCCCGGGAAACUGGGUCUAAUACUGGAUACGACCAGUGGCCGCAUGGUCUGCUGGUGGAAAGCCCUUCGGGGUGGUGUGGGAUGGGCCCGCGGCCUAUCAGCUUGUUGGUGGGGUGAUGGCCUACCAAGGCGACGACGGGUAGCCGGCCUGAGAGGGUGUCCGGCCACACUGGGACUGGGACACGGCCCAGACUCCUACGGGAGGCAGCAGUGGGGAAUCUUGCACAAUGGGCGAAAGCCUGAUGCAGCGACGCCGCGUGAGGGAUGACGGCCUUCGGGUGGUAAACCUCUUUCGGCAGGGAACAAGCCUGGGGGGUUUCUUCUGGGUGAGGGUACCUGCGGAAGAAGCACCGGCUAACUACGUG
rnacentral:rRNA from 1 species